rnacentral:rRNA from 1 species
AUACGGAGGAUCCGAGCGUUAUCCGGAUUUAUUGGGUUUAAAGGGUGCGCAGGCGGCCAUUUAAGUCAGCGGUUAAAUCGUGGGGCUCAACCCCAUUCUGCCGUUGAUACUGGGUGGCUUGAUUGCGGUCGAGGUUGGCGGAAUUCGUUGUGUAGCGGUGAAAUGCAUAGAUAUGACGAAGAACACCGAUUGCGUAGGCAGCUGACCAGACCGCAAAUGACGCUCAUGCACGAAAGUGCGGGGAUCGAACAGGAUUAGAUACCCUGGUAAUCCGCACAGUAAACGAUGAAUACUUGUUUUCGGCGAUAUAAUGUCGGAGGCAAAGCGAAAGCGAUAAGUAUUCCACCUGGGGAGUACGCCGGCAACGGUGAAACUUAAAGGAAUUGACGGGG